UUGGAGGGCAAGUCUGGUGCCAGCAGCCGCGGUAAUUCCAGCUCCAAUAGCGUAUAUUAAAGUUGUUGCAGUUAAAAAGCUCGUAGUUGAAUUUCGGAAUUUUUUUAUCGGUUGAAUCAACGGGUUCGUACUGAUUUUAAGAAUUUCUACCUUCUGGAGAACCUUAAUGUCAUUUAUUUGGUGUUUUGGGAAACCAGGACUGUUACCUUGAAAAAAUUAGAGUGUUUAAAGCAGGCUUAUGUCUGAAUAUAUUAGCAUGGAAUAAUGAAAUAGGACGGCAUGGUUCUAUUUUGUUGGUUUCUAGGAUCACCGUAAUGAUUAAUAGGGAUAGUUGGGGGCAUUAGUAUUCAAUUGUCAGAGGUGAAAUUCUUGGAUUUAUUGAAGACUAACUUCUGCGAAAGCAUUUGCCAAGGAUGUUUUCAUUAAUCAAGAACGAGAGUUAGGGGAUCGAAGACGAUCAGAUACCGUCGUAGUCUUAACCAUAAACUAUGCCGACUAGGGAUCGGAUGAUGUUAAUUUUUUAAUGACUCAUUCGGCGCCUUACGGGAAAC
rnacentral:rRNA from 1 species